rnacentral:lncRNA from 1 species
GUCUGCAAUUAUUUGUCUUUGCUUUGUUUUGUGGUUUGCAUUUUAGGCAAAUAUUUUGUAUGCAUUUUUAUAAAUCAUUAAAACCACAAACAAAAUCUCUUUCGGGCAACAUUGAUUGAGCAGACUUUAUGCCUCCCACAACUGCCCAAAGGCAGCUCUUUGGUGCUUCAUAGUUAUAAACAAAAACGUCAUAAACGUUAACGACUCACGGGGCACAUAAAUUUAAGGCUUGAUUUUCAUGAGCCAGUCAACGACAACAAGCAAAAACUGCCAGCCCCAGCCGAGGUUUUAACGAUCCAAAAGGUCCACCCAUGAGUUGCAGAUGAGCGAUGGACAAACUGUUAAUGUGAGAGAUUCCGCGGUCACUUUCACCUGACAAACGCUGGUCAAGGCUUGGGCUUUUAAUUUAAUUAGCCAAUCAAAUGGUGAUGGUGGGUUUGGGUGUGGCCCCAAACGAAUGGCUAAAACUAGACUACGCAUGGCUUACAGCAGGCAUGUGGGCGAAAUUAACUUUCGUUGGAGAUUACAGAGGGAAGAGAGAGCAAGAGAAGGGUUUGGCAACUGGCUAACAAAUGCGAUAAUAGUUGGCCAAGAGUCAAUGGCUAGACAGACAGAAAAAAAACACACACACAAAGAGCAGACAGAAAUAGCUACAUGGAAGAGCCACAGAUACAGAUACGGAUACAAUGAAGAGUCAGAGAUACAGCCACAGCUAUAGAAACAACAAAACGAAAUUGGAAGAAAAUUACACUAAAUUGGCUUCAAUUAUUGUAUUAAUUUGGGUUCCGUGUUUCUUUCCGGCUUAUCCCUUCCGUGCCUCUCCGCCUCCUUCUUCGCCACUGCUUCUGGCCACUGCUUUUUGGGCCAUGUUGCAGUUUCUCUUGUUUGGUUUUUGGUUUUCGUUUUGGUUUUCUGUUUUCUGUUUUCUGGCCCCUGACAGCUCUGAUGUCUGUCCGACUGUCUGUUUGUCUUGAUCUGCAAGCAAACAUUUUGUUUUUCUAACUUGCUUUUGGCAUCUUGAUGAGGCACUUCUUAGUUGAGUUAUUUCAAAAUGAAAUUAUAUUAGACAGCGUCCAGUCCCAGUCCCCAAAGGUUUCGCCAUGCCCUUCCAUUGCAAUGUUGCUGCGACUGCUGCUGCUGCUGCUGUUGCAGGAAACCUCUGCUUGACUCUUGGCCAAAAGGAAACCGACGAUUAUAGUUCGUAAACCUCGUAGAUACGAGCCACUCCGUAUGUGGCAGGUUUUCUGUUGAAUCAGGGACUGGGCUUGCGACUUGGGACUGAGUGCGGCGCAUGUGUAGAAGAAGUUUUGCAGCAGCAACAGCAACUGCAGCCGGAAGAACAUUCAUCGUUUGACAUUCAUCUUGGGAGACAGCAGCAGCAGCAGCUGCUACUCCUGUCAUUAUAAUUAUUAUUAUAAGCAUUAUCGCUGUGGUUGUGUGACUAGAAUUGGACAACCUCCUUUGAGGUGGAAAAUUUAAAGCAAAAUGAAUUUUAGAGAACUUUGAGGGCACCAUUUGGUAAAUAUCCGUAAAUGUAUGUGUUAUCUCUCUAUCAAAUGUAUUUUGUAAGUUUGUUAUUUAUAUUUUAGGGAAAGAAAAACCCACAGAAUGCUAUGCCAAAUGUGUGCAGGCAAUAAGAUAAUUUUAGAUGUGAAAUUUGCACACAGCAAAGGCAAUAUUUGAGAGCUUUAUAG